rnacentral:lncRNA from 1 species
UUCGGGUAGGCUCUGAGGGAUGCUUAAUACCUUCUCUUCGAGUAACCAAAACUCUUACUUAGAAUCUCACUGAUUUCGCAAAUUAAAACAGAGUUUACAUUUACAUAUUUAAAAAAUGAUUUUCCUAAUAUUUUUCCUUAAAAUUAGGGGGCGACUCUAAACAACUUUCAAAAUCAGAGUGACAACCAUAUUAUGUUACGAACUAUUUUGACUAGUUAGAAAUAGGGUGCGAUAGUCACGAGAGGCAAUUUCAAAGUAUUUGUUAUGUCAAUUACUCUAGCAGCAAAACAGUUUCAUAUUGGGUUGACACUUUUGAAGAAUAGAUGUAGGGAUUAGUCUUCAAAUACUAAUCAACAAUGUUAAGGUUAAUCACUCUCUCUCUACAAAACUUAAUUAGUUGUUUCCAUUAAUUAAUUCUUUUCUUGUAGUAUUCAUAUAAUUAUGAUGGUUGAUUUGAUGGUGUAUAUAUAUGCAUAAUAUAUGAUACUAAUAGUGUAUAUUUGAAGGAAUUGGAGAAGGGAGUUGGAAAUGGGAUGGAAGAAAAGUUGAAGGAUGUGAUUAAGGUAUUAAAGAGAAAAAGAAGAUGGAGGAAAUACUAGACAUUAAACUUGAGGAGAAAACAAAGAGAUUGAGGCAAGCAUACUUUAAGGUUAAUUACAAGAGGAGAAGGC